UUGGUUAUGCUGAUAAGAGCGUAUGGUGGAUGCCUUGGCACUAAGAGCCGAUGAAAGACGUGAUAAGCUGCGAAAAGCUUCGGGGAGGAGCAAAUAUCCUUUGAUCCGGAGAUUUCUGAAUGGGGAAACCUACUUGAGCAAACCUCAAGUAUCCUUAAGCCAAUACAUAACUUAAGGAAGGGAACCCGGUGAACUGAAACAUCUAAGUAGCCGGAGGAAGAGAAAACAACAUGUGAUUCUGUGAGUAGCGGCGAGCGAAAACGGAAGAGCCCAAACCAGCGUGCGUGCAUGCUGGGGUUCGGACCGCGGAAUUGAUUCAACGAGUUUAGCAGAACGGUUUUGGGAAAGCCGGCCAGAGAGGGUGAAAGCCCCGUAAGCGAAAGACGAGUUGACAUGGCGGGAUCCAGAGUACCACGAGACACGUGGAACCUUGUGGGAAGAUGCGGGGACCACCCCGUAAGGCUAAAUACUACUUAGUGACCGAUAGCGCAUAGUACUGUGAAGGAAAGGUGAAAAGGACCCCGGGAGGGGAGUGAAAAAGAACCUGAAACCAUAUGUUUACAAGCUGUGGAAGAGCUUUAUAUGCUCAACCGCGUACUUUUUGUAGAACGGUCCGGCGAGUUACGCUGGCUGGCGAGGUUAAGGACUGAAGGUCCGGAGCCGAAGGGAAACCAAGUCUGAAUAGGGCGCAUAGUCAGUCGGAGUAGACCCGAAACCGGGUGAUCUAUCCAUGUCCAGGUUGAAGUUGCCGUAAAAGGCAAUGGAGGACCGAACCCACAUCCGUUGAAAAGGGUGGGGAUGAGGUGUGGAUAGGGGAGAAAUUCCAAUCGAACCCGGAGAUAGCUGGUUCUCCUCGAAAUAGCUUUAGGGCUAGCCUCAUACGAGUCUUGCGGAGGUAGAGCACUGAAUUCCUAAGGGGGCGUCAAAGCUUACUAAGGGAUAUCAAACUCCGAAUGCCGUGUAGAUGAUGUAUGGGAGUCAGACGAUCCGAGAUAAGUUGGGUGGUCAAAAGGGAAAGAGCCCAGACCAACAGCUAAGGCCCCAAAAUGUGUGUUAAGUGGAAAAGGAUGUGGGAUUUCGAAGACAACUAGGAUGUUGGCUCAGAAGCAGCCAUUCAUUCAAAGAGUGCGUAAUAGCUCACUAGUCGAGAGGUCCUGCGCCGAAAAUGUCCGGGGCUAAAACACACUGCCGAAGCUUUGGAAUUGAAUUAAUUCAAUUGGUAGAGGAGCAUUCUUAAAGGGACGAAGCAGUACCGUAAGGAGCUGUGGACUUUUAAGAAGAGAGAAUGCCGGAAUGAGUAGCGAGAGGAAGGUGGGAAUCCUUCCGGCCGAAUAUCUAAGGUUUCCAGAGUAAAGCUGAUCUGCUCUGGGUAAGUCGGGGCCUAAGGCGAGGUCGAAAGACGUAGUCGAUGGAUAACAGGUUGAAAUUCCUGUACUAUCCUGUAACAGAACUGUGGGGACACAGGCAGAGAGCGUGAGCCGGGAAUGGAAAGACCGGUACAAGCGAGGUAGGAGUCUGGUUGGCAAAUCCGCCAGGCAAUCCGAAGACGUGAUGUGGACUGAAAAUAAGUAGGGAAGCACGUGAGCUGACUGUCAAGAAAA
rnacentral:rRNA from 1 species